rnacentral:rRNA from 1 species
CAACACCCGAAGUCGGUGAGGUAACCGCAAGGAGCCAGCCGCCGAAGGUGGGGUAGAUGAUUGGGGUGAAGUCGUAACAAGGUAGCCGUAUCGGAAGGUGCGGCUGGAUCACCUCCUUUCUAUGGAG